UACGUAGGGGGCUAGCGUUGUCCGGAAUCAUUGGGCGUAAAGCGCGCGUAGGCGGCCAGAUAAGUCCGGUGUGAAAGUCACAGGCUCAACCUGUGAAUGCCGCUGGAAACUGUCUGGCUAGAGUCCGGAAGGGGCGAGUGGAAUUCCUGGUGUAGCGGUGGAAUGCGCAGAUAUCAGGAGGAACACCAGUGGCGAAGGCGACUUCCUGGCCUGUUCUUGACGCUGAGGCGCGAAAGCUAGGGGAGCAAACGGG
rnacentral:rRNA from 1 species